CGCCUGUUUAACAAAAACAUGUCUUUUUGAAUUAUUUAAAAAGUCUAACCUGCCCACUGAAUUAUUUUAAAUGGCCGCAGUAUCCUAACUGUGCAAAGGUAGCAUAAUCAUUAGUCUUUUAAUUGAAGGCUGGUAAGAAUGGUUGGACGAGAUAUUAACUGUUUCAUAAAAAUUUAUAAUAGAAUUUUAUUUUUUAGUCAAAAAGCUAAAAUAAAUUUAAAAGACGAGAAGACCCUAUAUAUCUUUAUAUUUAGAUAAUUACAAUUUUGUGGAUUUUUUUUGUUGUGAUUGUUGAUAAUAUUUUAUUGGGGUGAUAUUAAAAUUUAAAAAACUUUUAAUUAAUUAAAUCAUUAAUUUAUGAAUAAUUGAUCCGUUAUUAACGAUUAAAAAUUUAAGUUACUUUAGGGAUAACAGCGUAAUUUUUUUGGAGAGUUCAUAUCAAUAAAAAAGAUUGCGACCUCGAUGUUGGAUUAAGAGAUAUAUUUUGGUGUAGUCGCUAAAAUGUUAAGUCUGUUCGACUUUUAAAUUCUUACGUGAUCUGAGUUCAGACCGG
rnacentral:rRNA from 1 species